rnacentral:rRNA from 1 species
AUUGAACGCUGGCGGCAGGCCUAACACAUGCAAGUCGAACGAGUGGCGGACGGGUGAGUAAUGUCUGAGAAACUGCCUGAUGGAGGGGGAUAACUACUGGAAACGGUAGCUAAUACCGCAUACCAUCAGAUGUGCCCAGAUGGGAUUAGCUAGUUGGUGGGGUCACGGAUCACCAAGGAGACGAGCCCUAGCUGGUCUGAGAGGAUGACCAGCCACACUGGAACUGAGACACGGUCCAGACUCCGACGCGAGGCAGCAGUGGGGAAUAUUGCACAAUGGGCGCAAGCCUGAUGCAGCCAGGCCGCGUGUAUGAAGAAGGCCUGCGGGUUGUAAAGUACUUUCAGCGGGGAGGCGUUACCCGCAGAAGAAGCACCGGCGAACUCCGUGCCAGCAGCCGCGGUAAUAC